ACAUGGCAAGAUUUAGAAGCCCAAUGGAUUCCUACUGGACUUGUCACUGCUAAACAGUCAUUUAGGAGGGGGCAUUUUUUGGUUUAUUUGGGGUUUAUCUGCAAAAAUCUACUAGUCUUAGUGGUUGUCUGUCUUAAAAUAAUUGUAUUUAUAUACUAAUAAUUAUACUAAUAAUGAAAACAAGCAAACAAACAGUAAAAGCACCUUGUAAGAAGAUGGAGGUUCUGUCCUAAGAGGGGUCUCUGGUAACUUGCCAGAGGCUACAGUUAUCACACAUUUACAGCAAGAACACAGAAGGCUUUUUUUUGACUUGAGCGGUGAACUCCAUAAGAAGCAGAAACAGUGUUACAGUGCAGCCUUUAGCUAUGCUCUUAACUGUAAAUUUCAGCUGUCAUCAGAUUAAAAGGAAAAAGGGGGAGCUGUAGAGAAACUUCCAUUGCAGAUAUGAGAGAGAAAUUUACUCCUGUCAGAUGUCUGGAUUGCAGACUGCCAAGUAUCAAGUACUUCAAAGGAGAACAGAUUUGAAAAUAAAAUAAACAAAUAAAAUACCUAAUAUGAAGAGCUGAAUUUAGGUGUUUAAAAAAAAUAAA